AGUGAACGCUGGCGGUAGGCCUAACACAUGCAAGUCGAACGGCAGCACAGUAAGAGCUUGCUCUUACGGGUGGCGAGUGGCGGACGGGUGAGGAAUACAUCGGAAUCUACUUUUUCGUGGGGGAUAACGUAGGGAAACUUACGCUAAUACCGCAUACAACCUACGGGCGAAAGCAGGGGAUCUUCGGACCUUGCGCGAUUGAAUGAGCCGAUGUCGGAUUAGCUAGUUGGCGGGGUAAAGGCCCACCAAGGCGACGAUCCGUAGCUGGUCUGAGAGGAUGAUCAGCCACACUGGAACUGAGACACGGUCCAGACUCCUACGGGAGGCAGCAGUGGGGAAUAUUGGACAAUGGGCGCAAGCCUGAUCCAGCCAUACCGCGUGGGUGAAGAAGGCCUUCGGGUUGUAAAGCCCUUUUGUUGGGAAAGAAAAGCAGCAGGUUAAUACCCCGCUGUUCUGACGGUACCCAAAGAAUAAGCACCGGCUAACUUCGUG
rnacentral:rRNA from 1 species